UGGUUCUAUUAAAUAUUUUGCCCUUUUGAUUUGAAAAGUAUUCAAUUUUAUUAAAAAUAAAAGUUCAAUUUUCAUGUGCGAAAAUGAUUUAUUUAUUUUCAAAGUGAUUUUUCACGAUUUAGAGUGUACGUUUAAAAGUUGCACUUUUUGAUACAAAAAUUGUGCAACUGCCAAAAUAAUCAAAUAAAAAUAUGUUUUAUUUUGCAAGUGCCAGCAACUGCUCGUGUCAGUUUUUGUUUUGUGCAGCUUGUGCAGGUGCAAUCCGGCGAAAAUUGUAUAAAGGAUAAGGGAUCUGAUCCAGCAUCAUUCCGGUGUUCUUGCAUUCACCGUAAACAUUCCAGAGAAAUCCAGGAAUCCACCGAUUGAAUCCAGCCAAUGCGAGAUGACGUUCGGGAUGACACUCUGGAAUAUUUCCCUUCUGCCAUAUUGGCGCAACAAUUGUUUGCCGUUGCCAGACGCCCCGGAUUUCAUGUUUAGCCCUGCCUACCAUUGUUCAUUUCAACAAGGAUUAUCUUGCUGCCAUCGCAGUUAAGGCGACAACCAAGGUCCUGACCGUUUUGCCCACUAUCGAAGUGGAAAUGGCUUACGCAUCUAUACUAAUAUGGGGCCCCCAUCGCUAGCUCUGCCCAUUGGGUCAUCAAUCAAAUAAGGACAUAACAUUAAUAAAUAUUUUCCAAAAACAAA